GUUUUCUUUCAAGACAAUUUUUUUCCUCUGCUGCUUCUUUAUAAGCCAUAAUUCAAACCAUUUGUUUGUGUUUAUCUUGUCAAUUGACUGAUCAACACAAUUGAUCACACACACUGAGAAAUAUGUAUGGUUCAUAAAUAAUUUCUUUUAAGGGAUACGAUUUCAAUCAUUCAGCUGAAUGAGUGUUCACAUUUCGAAGAUGAAAUCACUGUACACUUAGUCGAAGUAGUUAAUUGUUCAAAAUCGUAUACAUUUUCAUCUUUGGUGUCUUUGAAUUAACGUAAAUCACAUACAGAAUUAAUCUCAUCAUUUUUAGUUGUUUGUGAUAAGUGACGUAGGUACACUAUACAGUCGUCAGCCAUCACCACAUUAGAUAUUAAAAUUGUCAAUUUUUAGAAAUAUUAAUAUCUAUAUAAUACAAUAAUUGCUUAUACUUUUAUUUAAACCACUGAGAGGAAACGUUAGUCG